AAUCAUAGCCAUUUAAUUGUUGGCCGGUAUGAAUGGCAUCACGAAGGCCCCACUGUCUUAAGAGGACUCUCCAUGAAAUUGAAAUCGUAGUGAAGAUGCUACGUCCAUAUUGUAAGACGAAAAGACCCCAUUGAGCUUUACUAAAGACUUGUAUGGCUCGAAAUAACUUAAAUAAAAAGUUUAGAUAAUGUGGGAUCCGUUUUGGUUAAUGAAACACCACUCUUUUAUUUUAAGAGAGCUAACCUUGUAGGGAGAAUGCAAGUUGGAUAGUUUGGUUGGGGCGACCACCUUUUAAAAGGUAACGAAGGUGAGCUUAAGGUCCGUAGUUAAUAGCUAGUGGCCUGACUGCAAGGGGGACAUCCCGAGCAGACACUGGUAAUCUCUCAGUGGGUUAUAGUGACCCGUCAUCUUAGAG
rnacentral:rRNA from 1 species